rnacentral:rRNA from 1 species
CAGUAGCCACGGUAAAACGUAGGUGGCAAGCGUUGUCCGGAAUUAUUGGGCGUAAAGGGCUCGCAGGCGGUUUCUUAAGUCUGAUGUGAAAGCCCCCGGCUCAACCGGGGAGGGUCAUUGGAAACUGGGAAACUUGAGUGCAGAAGAGGAGAGUGGAAUUCCACGUGUAGCGGUGAAAUGCGUAGAGAUGUGGAGGAACACCAGUGGCGAAGGCGACUCUCUGGUCUGUAACUGACGCUGAGGAGCGAAAGCGUGGAGAGCGAACAGGAUUAGAUACCCGUGUAGUCCCUGUCUCUUAUAC